CUGCACCUCGGUGCGGCCAACCGCCGUGGAGCAGUCUUUUCACUAUUUAUUCCAUUGUGCUAUAGAAGUCGGGGAAGAAUGCUUGAAAUCGGUUGCCUGUGCGGUUGUACCCUCGCGCGGUAUGUUUUUCGGUGGACUCUAUAAUGCUUGUGCUGUUGCUAGCUUCUAUCAACAAGUGCAAUCGGUUUGAUGGGAUAGUACAUGUGCGGCUGUGGGUGAAUACCCUAUUGUUGCAUACGUAUUAUGUCGGCUCUCAUGGAUGCGGUGCCCAUCGAGGAUUCCAUGGGCCUUUGGCCCGUGGAUUUCUUCAGGAUGUCCCUUGUGCAUGGAUCAUUACUCUGCUGCUUCGCUCUCGUCUUGACCAAUGUCAGGAUGUUUGAGUGGUGCUCGCAGGGUGUGCUCUUGUGCAUGCAAGAUGUUUGUCCCAUUGAAUUGAAUGAGCGAUUGCCAUAUGUCGCCGUGUGAAAGUACACCCCCUUCUUAGUCUUGUUACUGAGAUGUGGGGUGUGCCAAGAUGGCGCAUCAACACUCGUUUAAGACGUGCUACCUGGUUGAUCCUGCCAGUAGUCA
rnacentral:misc_RNA from 1 species